UUACACAUACCUUUGUUGAGGAUUGAUUUGAUUCUUGUUAAAAAGUUUGGGAUUUUUGAAGUGGAGAGGCUUAAUUGUGAAUUUGGAAGUGGGGUAGUGAAAAUGAUGAAGAGAAUUAUGAAAUUGUGAAAAUGGAAAUGAAAUAGAAAUAACACCAAAACAGAACUUAAAAGGUUCUGCCACACUCAGUUCGCUGGGAGAACUUUGUUCGCGGCGCCAACGUGAAUUUUUCC
rnacentral:lncRNA from 1 species